GGGCAUACUUGUAGACCUUGCCUGACUAUCCCUGUGGCCAGGCAGGGGGGACAGUGUAUGCAAGAGUAAUAUGGAGUUUGUGCUAGCUCUUGCCAGCUCAUUAAUGGCUGGAUGAACUGCAGUUCUCCAACAUUC
rnacentral:snoRNA from 8 species